rnacentral:rRNA from 1 species
UACGAAGGGGGCUAGCGUUGCUCGGAAUUACUGGGCGUAAAGGGCGCGUAGGCGGAUCGUUAAGUCAGAGGUGAAAGCCCAGGGCUCAACCCUGGAAUUGCCUUUGAUACUGGCGAUCUUGAGUACGGGAGAGGUGUGUGGAACUCCGAGUGUAGAGGUGAAAUUCGUAGAUAUUCGGAAGAACACCAGUGGCGAAAGCGGCUUCCUGGUCCAGCACCGACGCUCAUGCACGAAAGCGUGGGGAGCAAACAGG